AAAUCAAUGAAAAAAGUAUACCAAGAAUGUUUAUAAAUAAAAAUAUCCACAAUUCAUGAACAAUGAGACGCAGGAUUAAGAGAAAGAAAAAACAGCUAAU
ensembl:ncRNA T25G12.15 ncRNA